CUCUCUCAGCGAGGAGGUUCAUGGAGUUGAUGUCCUGGUGCGCGAACAUGAGUUCCGCUGUACCUCUGGAAAUGUGAGUGGCAAUUGCUUUUACACAUUUGCUCACGUAAAGAA